rnacentral:rRNA from 1 species
CAGGCUUAACACAUGCAAGUCGAGGGGCAGCAUGGUCUUAGCUUGCUAAGGCCGAUGGCGACCGGCGCACGGGUGAGUAACACGUAUCCAACCUGCCGUCUACUCUUGGACAGCCUUCUGAAAGGAAGAUUAAUACAAGAUGGCAUCAUGAGUCCGCAUGUUCACAUGAUUAAAGGUAUUCCGGUAGACGAUGGGGAUGCGUUCCAUUAGAUAGUAGGCGGGGUAACGGCCCACCUAGUCUUCGAUGGAUAGGGGUUCUGAGAGGAAGGUCCCCCACAUUGGAACUGAGACACGGUCCAAACUCCUACGGGAGGCAGCAGUGAGGAAUAUUGGUCAAUGGGCGCAGGCCUGAACCAGCCAAGUAGCGUGAAGGAUGACUGCCCUAUGGGUUGUAAACUUCUUUUAUAAAGGAAUAAAGUCGGGUAUGGAUACCCGUUUGCAUGUACUUUAUGAAUAAGGAUCGGCUAACUCCGUGCCAGCAGCCGCGGUAAUACGGAGGAUCCGAGCGUUAUCCGGAUUUAUUGGGUUUAAAGGGAGCGUAGAUGGAUGUUUAAGUCAGUUGUGAAAGUUUGCGGCUCAACCGUAAAAUUGCAGUUGAUACUGGAUAUCUUGAGUGCAGUUGAGGCAGGCGGAAUUCGUGGUGUAGCGGUGAAAUGCUUAGAUAUCACGAAGAACUCCGAUUGCGAAGGCAGCCUGCUAAGCUGCAACUGACAUUGAGGCUCGAAAGUGUGGGUAUCAAACAGGAUUAGAUACCCUGGUAGUCCACACGGUAAACGAUGAAUACUCGCUGUUUGCGAUAUACUGCAAGCGGCCAAGCGAAAGCGUUAAGUAUUCCACCUGGGGAGUACGCCGGCAACGGUGAAACUCAAAGGAAUUGACGGGGGCCCGCACAAGCGGAGGAACAUGUGGUUUAAUUCGAUGAUACGCGAGGAACCUUACCCGGGCUUAAAUUGCAGAUGAAUUACGGUGAAAGCCGUAAGCCGCAAGGCAUCUGUGAAGGUGCUGCAUGGUUGUCGUCAGCUCGUGCCGUGAGGUGUCGGCUUAAGUGCCAUAACGAGCGCAACCCUUGUUGUCAGUUACUAACAGGUUCCGCUGAGGACUCUGACAAGACUGCCAUCGUAAGAUGUGAGGAAGGUGGGGAUGACGUCAAAUCAGCACGGCCCUUACGUCCGGGGCUACACACGUGUUACAAUGGGGGGUGCAGAGGGCCGCUACCACGCGAGUGGAUGCCAAUCCCAAAAACCUCUCUCAGUUCGGACUGGAGUCUGCAACCCGACUCCACGAAGCUGGAUUCGCUAGUAAUCGCGCAUCAGCCACGGCGCGGUGAAUACGUUCCCGGGCCUUGUACACACCGCCCGUCAAGCCAUGGGAGCCGGGGGUACCUGAAGUGCGUAACCGCGAGGAGCGCCCUAGGGUAAAACUGGUGACUGGGGC